rnacentral:rRNA from 1 species
UACAGAGGUCCCAAGCGUUGUUCGGAUUCACUGGGCGUAAAGGGUGCGUAGGUGGUGAGGUAAGUCGGAUGUGAAAGCUCGGAGCUCAACUCCGAAAUGGCAUUGGAAACUACCUUGCUCGAGGGUUGGAGGGGGGACUGGAAUACUUGGUGUAGCAGUGAAAUGCGUAGAUAUCAAGUGGAACACCAGUGGCGAAGGCGAGUCCCUGGACAAAACCUGACACUGAGGCACGAAAGCUAGGGGAGCAAACAGG